UACGUAGGGGGCAAGCGUUGUCCAGAAUCAUUGGGCGUAAAGAGCGUGUAGGCGGCUCAGUAAGUCGGGUGUGAAAACUCCAGGCUCAACCUGGAGACGCCACCUGAUACUGUCGGGCUAGAGUCCGGAAGAGGCGAGUGGAAUUCCCGGUGUAGCGGUGAAAUGCGCAGAUAUCGGGAGGAACACCAAUGGCGAAGGCAGCUCGCUGGGACGGUACUGACGCUGAGAAGCGAAAGCGUGGGGAGCGAACAGG
rnacentral:rRNA from 1 species